rnacentral:rRNA from 1 species
UACGAAGGGGGCUAGCGUUGCUCGGAAUCACUGGGCGUAAAGCGCACGUAGGCGGAUUGUUAAGUCAGGGGUGAAAUCCUGGAGCUCAACUCCAGAACUGCCUUUGAUACUGGCGAUCUCGAGUCCGGGAGAGGUGAGUGGAACUGCGAGUGUAGAGGUGAAAUUCGUAGAUAUUCGCAAGGAACACCAGUGGCGAAGGCGGCUCACUGGCCCGGUACUGACGCUGAGGUGCGAAGCGUGGGAGCAACAGGAUAGAACCC